rnacentral:rRNA from 1 species
UACGUAGGUGGCAAGCGUUGUCCGGAAUUACUGGGCGUAAAGAGUGUGUAGGCGGUGCUCCAAGUCUGUUGUGAAAUCUCCCGGCUUAACUGGGAGGGUGCGGCGGAAACUGGAGUGCUCGAGUGUGGGAGAGGUAAGCGGAAUUCCUGGUGUAGCGGUGAAAUGCGUAGAUAUCAGGAGGAACACCUGCGGUGUAGACGGCUUACUGGACCGUAACUGACGCUGAGGCACGAAAGCGUGGGUAGCAAACAGG